UAAGAAUAAGAAAAAGCAUAUAUGGAAGAUAUAUAUAUAUAUACAUAUAUAUAAUUAUUGAUUUCUUAGUUGAAUUUUAUCAUGGAGCUUGCUAUAGAGUAGUAUGCUUGCAUUGAUUUGAGUGUAACUUUAAAUUUAGUUGGAAUAAUGAUUUGAACAUGCCUACUCAAACUUGAAUGUAUGGGUGUAUAUAUGCGCCACUUAGGGUUUAACUAUUAAAUUCGUUCAAUAUUAUUUUAAACCUUCAUCGUCUUAGGUAAGCAAUGGCUUCUAAUAAAAUAAUAAAUUUUUUGUAACCAAAAUAUUUUGAAUUACAGAGUUGUUUGGGGGGUUAAAUGUACGGAAAAGAUUAUGCCCUGAUUUGAUUUUCGUUGGACCAUUGAGCUUCAUUUAAUAGACAUAAAAGGAUAGAGGUUAAAUUACUGGUGUGAAUAUAACAGGGUUUGGGAUUUUUUUUUUUUUUUUUGGGUAGGUAUGUGGAUUCGUGGUUGUUGAUUUGUACUUUAAAUGCAUUUGUUCUUUCCCAUGAAUUUAUUCUUCUUGUUACAUUUUUCGCCCUCCAACUGUUUGAUGUAAUGCCUGAAUCAAAAAUUUAUUUGUCUCUGCUCAUCUUCUUCUUCUACUUCUUCUGUUGUAUUCUGAAGUCACAUAUUGGUUUGGGUUUUAAUAUUUAAUAAAUUUACUUGUUAUUCCUCUAGACCCAAGAAAGAAUAUCAUGAAACAAGAGAGAAGAACUCAUACACAUUGAUUGUGUAUUUAUUUGCAUGUAUGGCUGCUAAAAUGUGAUUGUAAAGCAAAGUUCUGAUCAUUUUCUUCCACUCCUGUCUGAAGGAAAAAAAGAGAGCAGAUUAAUUUGAGAACAACUCAUACACAGAGAGAAAUAUUCUUGGGAUUUUACCUAGUCUCGAUGCUAGAUAUACAAAUUUGUAUGUGAAGAAUUUUGAUCUAGAUGUCACAGAAGAACUUCUCAAGAAGAAGUUCUCUGAGUUUGGUAAAAUUCUCAGUUUAAUUAUCUCAAAGGAUGAGUAUGGGGCCUCUAGAGGUUUAAGAUUUGUGAAUUUUGACAGUGCAGAUGACACCAAGAGGGCAAUAGAACUAUGAAUGGAUCACAACUUGGUUCCAAGGUUAUCUAUGUUGGUAGAGCACAGAAGAAAGAAGAGCACGAGUAGAUUUUACGUCGUCAGUUUGAAGAGAAACGAAAGGAGCAAAUAACAAAAUGCCAGGUCAAGAAUUUUGAUGAUGAUAUCACUGAUGACAAGCUGCAAGAACACUUCCACCAGUGUGGCACGAUCACCUCUGCAAAACUAAUGCGAGAUGAAAAAAGAACCAGCAAGGGGUUUGGGUUUGUCUGCUUCUCAACACCUGAGGAGGCCAAUAAAGCUGUGAACAAUUUUCAUGGUGAGUACCAUGAAUAUAUAAGCUUACGGAUGCGAUGUAGAUGUCUUUGAAUUAAGAUACAUUAACAUUCUUUAACUUGGCCAUGCAAAUUGGUUGAUAUGUUUUGAUCUGAAAGAAACUAUUAUGCUAAUGUUUAAUUUUGUAUAACGGAAUAAUAUAAAUUGCCAUUUGAAUAGUAUAUGUAACUGUGGAUAAUGGAAUAGUGUAUCAUUAACACAACUAGGUUUUCGUUCCUAAUUUCAAAUUUGAUAACAAUUUAAUCUUUUUAUUUUGGAGAAGCAGGGUUCCUUGAAAGUUAGAAGAAAAUUUCUCUCUCUGUAUAAAUCGAAAAUUCCUUGAAAGUUAUGAUUUAG